UCAUCGAGGUUAGUGUUUCUAUAGGUUGGGGGCUUUCAUCAAGGUGUUUCUAUAGGUUGGGGGCUUUCAUCAAGGUUAGUGUUUCUUUAGGUUGGGGGCUUUUAUCAAGGUUAGGGGCUUUCAUCAAGGUUAGUGUUUCUGUAGGUUGGGGGCUUUCAUCAAGGUUAGUGUUUCUGUAGGUUGGGGGCUUUCAUCAAGGUUAGUGUUUCUAUAGGUUGGGGGGCUUUCAUCAAGGUUAGUGUUUCUGUAGGUUGGGGGCUUUCAUCAAGGUUAGUGUUUCUAUAGGUUGGGGCUUUCAUCAAGGUUAGUGUUUCUUUAGGUUGGGGGCUUUCAUCAAGGUUAGUGUUUC